AACGCAUUGGAUCCAGGUCUUUAUUUUAAACUGAUAAUGAUGGAACAAUGAUCAAGGCUUUUUUCAGGCCUUUACAAAAGUGGUUUGUUUCAUUUUUAUUAUACGCCCGUCUAUGACGGGACGUAUUAUGGUAUACCCCGCGUCCGUCUGUCCGUCCGUCCGUCUGUCCGUCCGUAUGUCUGUUAAUGUCGUACGCUACGUCAAAUAUCCUUUGACAGAUUUUCUUCAAAUUUUAACACAAUCUUAAUAUUGAUAAACCCUGAUCCCCUUUCGUUUUUGACGGAAUUCUGAAUUGUCGUUCCAGAGUUAUGGGACUUUGUUCGUCAAAAUUUCGUGAUUUCAUUGAAUGUCCUACUGUAGCUAUAUAAAAAUGUUAAAGUUGUUAUAACUUUGGUAUGCUUGGACCUAGAGUCUUGAAACUUGACAUGAAGGUUGGCCAGAACUAGUAAGUAACCACUGGACAUUUCAAGGUCAUUCAUUUGAAGGUCAAGGUCACUGUGACCUUGAAUGUAAAAAUGUUAAAGUUCUUAUUUCAUGUUAUAACUUUGGUAUGCUUGUACCUAGAGUCUUCAAACUUGAAAUAAAGAUUGGCCAGUACUAGAAGAUGACCACUGGUCAUUUCAAUGUCAUUCAUUUGAAGGUCAAGGUCACUGUGACCUUAAAUGUUAAAAUGUUAAAAUUGUUAUAACUUUGGUAUGCUUGGACAUAGAGUCUUCAAACUUGACAUGAAGGUUUGCAAGCACACUUAGAUGACCACUGGUCAUUUCAAGGUCAUUCAUUCUAAGGUCAAGGUCACACAAGGUCACUGUGACCUUAAAUGUUAAAAUGUUAAAAUUGUUAUAACUUUGGUAUGCUUGGACAUAGAGUCUUCAAACUUGACAUGAAGGUUUGCAAGCACACUUAGAUGACCACUGGUCAUUUCAAGGUCAUUCAUUCUAAGGUCAAGGUCACUGUGACCUUAAAUGUUAUUGUUGUUCAUGUAUCCUACCGUAGCUCAAAUAUCCCCCGAUGGAUUUUUUAUACGCCCGUCUAUGACGGGACGUAUUAUGGUAUACCCCGCGUCCGUCUGUCCGUCCGUCCGUCCGUCCGUCCGUCCGUCCGUCUGUUAAUGUCGUACGCUACGUCAAAUAUCCUUUGACAGAUUUUCUUCAAAUUUUAACACAAUCUUAAUAUUGAUAAACCCUGAUCCCCUUUCGUUUUUGACGGAAUUCUGAAUUGUCGUUCCAGAGUUAUGGGACUUUGUUCGUCAAAAUUUCGUGAUUUCAUUGAAUGUCCUACUGUAGCUCAAAUAUCCUUCGAUGGAUUUUUUUCAAAUUUCAACACAAUCUUAAUAUUGAUAAACCCUGAUCCCCUUUCGUUUUUGACGGAAUUCUGAAUUGUCGUUCCAGAGUUAUGGGACUUUGUUCGUCAAAAUUUCGUGAUUUCCAUGCUCAUGUACUUAUAAAAUAAACCAUGUAUUCAAAUACAAAUAAACUGAAGUAAAAAAAUGA